UGGGGAAUAUUGGACAAUGGGCGCAAGCCUGAUCCAGCCAUCCCGCGUGCAGGAAGACGGCCCUAUGGGUUGUAAACUGCUUUUCCAGGGAGAGAAACUUGCGUACGCGUUGCGCAAUUGACGGUACCCUGGGAAUAAGCAUCGGCUAACUCCGUGCCAGCAGCCGCGGUAAUACGGAGGAUGCGAGCGUUAUCCGGAUUCCUUGGGUUUAAAGGGUGCGUAGGCGGACUAGUAAGUCAGUGGUGAAAUCCUGCAGCUUAACUGCAGAACUGCCAUUGAUACUGAUAGCCUUGAGUUUGGUUAAGGUAGGCGGAAUGUGUAAUGUAGCGGUGAAAUGCUUAGAUAUUACACAGAACACCAAUUGCGUAGGCAGCUUACUGAGCCGACACUGACGCUGAGGCACGAAAGCGUGGGGAUCGAACA
rnacentral:rRNA from 1 species